GCAUCAGAGACCAUCGAUAUGAAACCCUGAUCAAAGAGUUCAAAUUUCAAAUUCAAAAUUUGAAAUUUAAAAUUUUGACCCCGGUACCCAAAAUGUAUGGAACUCAUGAUCAGAGAAUCCUAAUUCUCAAUCAUAGAGUCCCAGACACAUAAGACUCAUAAUCAGCCAUCAGAUCAGAAAGGAACCUCUAAUGUGUGUGACCCCACAGGUUCGAACCUAAGCCGGUAGCACAGGAACCAAUUUCUGUACUAAUCGAAGUGACCAUUUAGCAAUGGUACCCGACGAUCGGAUAGGUCGAAUAGUCACAAUCGCAAUAUUUAGAACCUACAUGAAUAUGGUUACCGUAUAAUUCAUCCCUUUUGACCCCUGUGUUUAGGACGACUCAGGGUUAAACUGUCAACCCUGAUGAGAUCAUCCGAAUCGUGCUCAACUCAAUUAGUCCUAUAACUCCUCACUAGGACUACCCUGGCCAAGGUUUUGCUAAAUUGAAACACGACUGUACAUAGCUCCUAAACUGGAGUGGUCAAUCCCAUCU
rnacentral:lncRNA from 1 species